UCUCUCCCUGGCAUUUCCGUUUCCGUUCCCCUUUCCUAUCCAGUUUAAUUUAGAGUGGGGCUGGUGUUGUUGGCGUGCGGCAAGCCGUGGCAGAGUUCGCUUGCAGCGACGAAGGCAAGUUGAAUGCUGGCCGGUAGACUUGAGUUGCGGCACCGGUAGUGAGUAGCCAUACAGCGGUGCGUCUGGUGUUGGUUCAACAACUCGUAAAGGGGACAUAUCAAGAUUUCCAAGCCCUAUUCCUAGCCAAAGGACUUCCUGCAAUGCCGC